rnacentral:misc_RNA from 1 species
UUUCCGUAGGUGAACCUGCGGAAGGAUCAUUAAAGAGUAAGGGUCUUCGGGCCCGAUCUCCAACCCUUUGUUUAACUACCAUGUUGCUUUGGCGGGCCCGUCUCACGACCGCCGGAAGUUUGGCUUCGACCAAACUUCUGGCCUGUGCCCGUCAGUGGCCCCUUCAAAUUCUUGAUCAAGUAUGAUGUCUUAGUUAAAAACUUAAUAGUUAAAACUUUCAACAACGGAUCUCUUGGUUCUG